rnacentral:rRNA from 1 species
UACAGAGGUGGCAAGUGUUGUUCGGAUUCACUGGGCGUAAAGGGUGCGUAGGUGGCUUGGCAAGUUGGAUGUGAAAUACCACAGCUUAACUGUGGAAUGGCAUCCAAAACUGCCUUGCUUGAGGAUCUAAGGACGUGAGCGGAAUUCUCGGUGUAGCGGUGAAAUGCGUAGAUAUCGAGAAGAACACCUGUGGCGUAGGCGGCUCACGACUAUAUUCCUGACACUGAAGCGCGAAAGCGUGGGGAGCAAACGGG